GGAUUAGAUACCCUGGUAGUCCACGCCGUAAACGAUGUCUACUAGCCGUUGGGGGACUUGAUCUCUUAGUGGCGCAGCUAACGCGAUAAGUAGACCGCCUGGGGAGUACGGUCGCAAGGCUAAAACUCAAAGGAAUUGACGGGGGCCCGCACAAGCGGUGGAGUAUGUGGUUUAAUUCGAAGCAACGCGCAGAACCUUACCUGGCCUUACCAUCCCUUGACAUCCUGAGAAGUUAGCAGAGAUGCUUUCGUGCCUUCGGGAACGCAGUGACAGGUGCUGCAUGGCUGUCGUCAGCUCGUGCCG
rnacentral:rRNA from 1 species